CUGCCCUUGAUUUCUAACUCCUUCCAUUUCUGAUCACUUCUGUCUCUUGAGUGUGAGAAUCAAGGAUUCUGGCAGAAGGAUAAAGUAAUAAAAUGGCUUCUGGUAAAGCCUUUUGCCUGCCUGAAAAAAGCCUCAAGGAAGAGAAACAGGUUCCUGAAAUGACCCUCAGAAGCUCUUCCAAAUGCAUUACCAUCCAUUUUCAGAUCUACUAGCGGAAAGUUGGUCACUGAAUCCAGCCCAGGAUGUCUAAUCCUCCAUUCCCCACUGAGGUAAGGGGCCCCAAGAGCAAAUCAGACAGCUACGUAACUAGCUGACUACCAGGCUGAACCAUACUGACACCAGGUAAUGAAGAACAAGAAGACUGCUUUGAGAUGACUGAUUUGGCUGUUCCCAGUACUACAGAAGAUCUCAGGAGUACUCCUGAAACAACUGUUUGACCAUUUCAAGCACAGUAGGACUAUGUGCAUGUUUCUAAUUUUCUUUUAACCACUUCUAAUCAUUUGUACUUAAUCAUAAAAAAUAUGAUAGAUCAGGCAAAACACAAUCUAACAGCAGAGUGCAUGGGCCCUUUGAUUUAAAGAAAAGACUCUUGCAGAUAAUAGUUUCAAGUGCAAUUUUGCAAAUUUGGUGAGCUCCUGAAGUUUAAGAUACAAAUAAUGCACUGACAGAAAAUGGACGCUUGUAACAGGUAAAGAAGGUGUGCUGGCCAUGAGGAAGACAGGAAUAUUUUAUUUUAAAGGCUACAAAUGUAUAAAAGAAAGAUGAAAUAUAAGGUUUUUCAUGUCUCAUACUGCCUCAGCUUUCUGAUCUCUUGAGUUCUGUAUGAGUCUUACUGUUUACUUGUUGCAAACAUUGUGCUCAGAGAUAUUAAGUGCGUGAGGAUCACAGAUUUGUUUCUGUGCAAUGCAAAGCAAAAUACUCAUGAUUUUUAAUUCUAUUACUGCAUUAGGAUUGUUCAGUAAGAUAAAAAAAAUCUUGAAUUCCUUCUCAUUAAGUUAGUUGUGUAAAACACACAGGAUUAAGUGGUAAAUAUAAUAAAAUUAGUAAAAUAAGCUGGAAUGUAUCUAUCAUUUACAAUAAAUAGCUGCAUAUAACUGCAUUAAAUUAUCCACAGCAGAAUUAGAAGAGCUGAACACCUACUGAUGUAUUCUACUACAUGGUCUCCAUGUCUAUGUGUACCUAUAAAGCUACAAUAUGGAAAGGACAAAUGAAGACACUAGUGUCUUUUCAGCUUAUAUCCAAAAAUAUCGUUGAUCUAUUUCUAAUAAAUAGCCUGGUAAAAGUAUUCCUGAAAAUAUCAUUGCUAAGGAAUAUUACCCCUGUGUAAAAACUAUCCAGAAAUAGCUUAUUAGACAAAUUAUCAUAUUCAUCUGAGUUUGCCCAGGAAUACUCACCCAUGUAAGAAAUUGUUCUAACAUUUUCUAUAGUUUAUGAAUGAGCUCUCUAUACAGAAUUGCAUUACACAAUUAAACCUAUUACUGUAAAAUCCAGGAAAUUGCAUUCAUGGUAAAUUGCAUAAUUCAUGAAGCCAGGCAAAGUGUGGGGUUGGUAAAUAUGCAAAACUUUUCAAUCAACUCAAGUAGAAUGAGAGAGGAAAAACACGUUAUUGUUGGAGCUUUAAAUAGAAAAUAAAUGUUGAGUGGAGAAAUGCAUUUUGUUUUACAUUCUCAUUUAAUGCUACAGAGGAAAAAGUGAUGAGCACUAUAAAAAUAAGCAAGAGUUACCUUUAUAUUUCUCUUUUCCUGUUGUGGUGUAGGUAGAAAGACUCAAAGAUUUCAGCUGCUUAUUAAAUCUAGUGUUGAUUAGCUUGACUUACAAAGCUCCUAACUGAAAGUUGAUAGCUCUGUAAACUUAUUU